CAAUUGUGUUAUGGAUCGGUUAUUUAGAGCAAGACUUCUGUGGUCUGAGACUCAAUUUUGUCCUCCUUGCCAUUGAAAAAGAAAUAUUUUCACACUUUUUUUAGACUUGAGGGGACCACACUUUACAUAAGACAAGUUUUGAGAAAAAGCACCAUUGAAAAGAAUGGAAUUUACUGUGGUCUCCAACUUGUGUCUAAACAGAAGCAAGUUCCAUUGAGUUCAGUGUAACUGACACUCAGGUGAGUAAUUUGGAGUGAUAACUAGAUAAUAAAAUUAGAUAGUCAUUUCCACAAUGUGUAGUAGAACUGGGGAGUUACUUUUAGAAUGCAAAUGGCCAUGCUGGUUGCAAGAUGCUGAGAGCUUUAUUCCAAAAAAUUAUGGGAAUAGAAGUACUGUAUUAACAAAAAAUGUCAAGCUCAAGAGUUUGCUACUCAUCUGCUACUACCAUAAAUAGCUUACCUAAUCUUGAGCAAAACCAAAGUGAAAGGAAAAUGGGAAACAAUUGAUUUAGGAUAUAUCAACAAAUUCCAGCUCAUUAGUAGAACAAAAUCAAUAAUUUAUUAGUACCAUACUUCAAGUUUUGGGCAGCAGCUAACUUGUUUCUAAGAUGAAUCCUUAAAAUAUAUUGUUACCUCUUUUUCUAGAGAUUCACUAUGUACUGUGGCAGGGCUUAAGAAAUAUAUAAAGUUCCUUUAAUCUUCCAACCGGCAUCGCCACUGGCCGGUUAACAAAUUAUAAAUAUAUUUUUACACCCUUUUCAAAGUAUAUGUCCUCUUUUAACCAUUUACAGAAGAAUAAACAUCAGAUGAAAGGAACAACGGCACUUCCUCAGGAGGUUAUCUACUACAAAAAUGUGUGAUGAUAAAACAUUUCUAGUUAAAUAAAUAGCCUGCUGCCAGCAAAACCCAAAAACAGUCAUGCUAAAGAAAUGCAAGGGGAGUAGAAAAAAACAUACUUUAAGAAGGUUAAUUUGACCUCCAUUCUUCAUCUUCAAAGAAGAGCAAACCUAGAGAUCAUUAUAUUUGGUUAAGGAAGACAAUCAAAGAAAACAUUGGGAACUCUGUGGUCUUCGAGAUGUUAUUGGACUGCAAAUCCCAGCAACCUUAGCCAGCAUAGCAAAUGACCAGGGAUGCUGGAGAUUGCAGUCUAGCACCAUCGAGAAGAGUGCAUGGUUCUGAUUUAAAAGGAAAGAAGUCAUGUUACAUCUGAAGGGUAAUGGUUUGAUUACAUAUCAUCCAAUUCUGAGGACAGAGUGGUGGCAUAUAUAUGGCCUAGAAAUAAGGAAAUGGAAAAAGUUAAUAGGGCAUGCUUGAGCAAUUCUUCUACAGGCAGUUCUGCUAAAUAUAAUAAGUCUUUGAGCCAUUCUUCAUAAUACGUUACAGCCCAUAUGUUUUGGACUAUACCUCCCAUUAUCCUAAGAGGGACUGCCGUCCAACAUCAUCUGAAGGCCACACAUUCCAUACUGGCUUUACAAGGUAGUUACUGGAAGAAUGAAUAAAAUGCCCUUUCAAUCAUC